rnacentral:rRNA from 1 species
AACGAACGCUGGCGGCAGGCUUAACACAUGCAAGUCGAACGCGCCGUAAGGCGAGUGGCAGACGGGUGAGUAACACGUGGGAAUCUACCUAGUUCUACGGGAUAGCCCGGGGAAACCCGGAUUAAUACCGUAUACGCCCUAUGGGGGAAAGAUUUAUCGGAAUUAGAUGAGCCCGCGGUUGAUUAGCUAGUUGGUGAGGUAAUGGCUCACCAAGGCGACGAUCAAUAGCUGGUCUGAGAGGAUGAUCAGCCACACUGGAACUGAGACACGGUCCAGACUCCUACGGGAGGCAGCAGUGGGGAAUAUUGGACAAUGGGCGCAAGCCUGAUCCAGCCAUGCCGCGUGAGUGACGAAGGCCUUAGGGUUGUAAAGCUCUUUUAACAGGGAAGAUAAUGACGGUACCUGUAGAAUAAGCUCCGGCUAACUUCGUGCCAGCCGCCGCGGUAAAAC